rnacentral:rRNA from 1 species
UACGUAGGUGGCUAGCGUUGUCCGGAUUUACUGGGCGUAAAGAGCGCGCAGGCGGUCGUUCAAGUCGAGUGUGAAAGCCCCCGGCUCAACUGGGGAGGGUCACUCGAUACUGAUCGACUCGAAGGCAGGAGAGGGAAGCGGAAUUCCCGGUGUAGUGGUGAAAUUCGUAGAUAUGGGGAGGAACACCGGUGGCGAAGGCGGCCAUCUGGACGGAUACUGACGCUGAGACGCGAAAGCGUGGGGAGCAAACAGG